UGAGAAGAGCUGCUCCUAGUACGAGAGGACCGGAGUGGACGACCCUCUGGUGUUCCGGUUGUCACGCCAGUGGCAUUGCCGGGUAGCUAUGGUCGGACGGGAUAACCGCUGAAAGCAUCUAAGCGGGAAGCCCCCUUCAAGAUGAGACAUCCCCGAGACCUAGAGUCUCCUAAAGGGCCCAGCGAGACCAGCUGGUGGAUAGGCACGGUGUGGAAGCGCUGCAAGGCGUUGAGCUAACGUGUACUAAUGGCCCGUGAGGCUUGACCCUAUAACACCCAAGGGGU
rnacentral:rRNA from 1 species